UUGGAGGGCAAGUCUGGUGCCAGCAGCCGCGGUAAUUCCAGCUCCAAUAGCGUAUAUUAAAGUUGUUGCAGUUAAAAAGCUCGUAGUUGAACUUCGGGGUUUACUCAUUGGUCAGGCUUAAUUGUCUGCACUGGUGAGAUGAAUCUCUACCUUCUGAGGAACUUUCAUGUCAUUUAUUUGGUGUGAUUGGAAAUCAGGACUGUUACUUUGAAAAAAUUAGAGUGUUUAAAGCAGGCUAACGUCUGAAUACAUUAGCAUGGAAUAAUGAAAUAGGACGGACUGAUUCUAUUUCGUUGGUUUCUAGGAUCACCGUAAUGAUUAAUAGGGAUAGUUGGGGGCAUUAGUAUUCAAUUGUCAGAGGUGAAAUUCUUGGAUUUAUUGAAGACUAACUACUGCGAAAGCAUUUGCCAAGGAUGUUUUCAUUAAUCAAGAACGAAAGUUAGGGGAUCGAAGACGAUCAGAUACCGUCGUAGUCUUAACCAUAAACUAUGCCGACUAGGGAUCGGACGAAGUUAAUUUUAUAAUGACGCGUUCGGCGCCUUACGGGAAAC
rnacentral:rRNA from 1 species